rnacentral:rRNA from 1 species
GUGCCAGCCGCCGCGGUAAAACGUAGGAGGCAAGCGUUAUCCGGAUUCACUGGGUGUAAAGCGCGUGCAGGCGGUUCGGUAAGUUGGGCGUGAAAUCUCCUGGCUCAACUAGGAGAGGUCGUUCAAUACUACCGGACUUGAGAGUGGUAGAGGAAGAUGGAAUUCCCGGUGUAGUGGUGAAAUGCGUAGAUAUCGGGAGGAACACCAGUGGCGAAGGCGAUCUUCUGGACCAUUUCUGACGCUCAGACGCGACAGCUAGGGUAGCAAACGGGAUUAGAGACCCCGGUAGUCCUAGCCGUAAACGAUGUGAACUUGGCGUCGGUGGCUUAAACACCAUCGGUGCCGCAGCAAACGCGAUAAGUUCACCACCUGGGGACUACGGCCGCAAGGUUAAA